rnacentral:rRNA from 1 species
GAUGAACGCUGGCGGCGUGCUUAACACAUGCAAGUCGAACGGAUUUACGAUGAAGCCUAGCGAUUCGUAAGUUAGUGGCGGACGGGUGAGUAACGCGUUGGUAACCUGCCCCGAAGAGAGGGAUAACAAUUCGAAAGAAUUGCUAAUACCCCAUGUGAUCCUCAGCAUUAGAUGGCUGAUGAUUAAACGGAUUUAUUCGCUUUGGGAGGGGCCUGCGUCCCAUCAGCUAGUUGGUAGGGUAAUGGCCUACCAAGGCUAUGACGGGUAGGGGACCUGAGAGGGUGACCCCCACACUGGCACUGAAACACGGGCCAGACACCUACGGGUGGCAG